GGACGGGUGGCCGAGCGGACUAAGGCGCACGCCUGGAGAGCGUGUGGGCGCCUCAAGCGCCUCGUGGGUUCGAAUCCCACCCCGUCCG
rnacentral:tRNA from 1 species